AGACGUGUUUUCCGUGCGGCUCUAUGGAAAGUCCUUUGGAACAGGGCAUCGUAGAGGGUGAAAAUCCCGUACUUGCCAUGGAAGUACCGUGCUUUGUGAUACACGCUCCAAGAGUCGAGUAGUUUGGGAUUGCUGCUCAAAGUGGGUGGUAGACUCCAUCUAAAGCUAAAUAUCGGGGAGAGACCGAUAGCGAACAAGUACCGUGAGGGAAAGAUGAAAAGCACUUUGGAAAGAGAGUUAAAAGUACGUGAAACUGUCGAAAGGGAAGCACUUGAAGUCAGCCAUGCUGCUUGAGACUCAGCCUGGCUUUUGCUUUGGUGUAUUUCUCGGUAGCAAGCCAGCAUUGGUUUGUGUCGUCGGAGAACCGCAUGGGGAAUGUGGCACCCUCGGAUGUGUUAUAGCCCUGUGCAGGAUACGACGACUUAAACCAAGGAACGCAGUGUGCCCUCUGGGGCGGGUCUUUCGGACAACC
rnacentral:rRNA from 1 species